rnacentral:lncRNA from 1 species
CAAAAACCGAAAACCAAAAACCAAACCAAACCAAACCAAACCAAAACAAACAAACAAACAAAAAAAAAAAAAAAAAAAAAAAAAAAAAAAAAAAACAAAAGAAAGAAAGAAAGAAAGAAAGAAAGAAAGAAAGAAAGAAAGGAAAAGAAAAAGACAAUUAGACAAUACUGUAGCAUGACCCCAGCCUGUUUCAAGGCUGAAGUGGGUUUAUUUUUCCCAGUCUUCUUUUAUACCAUUUUAAGUCCUAGGUUUAGGUUCUCAGUGAAGGAACAGACAAGGCAAUAAACAAGUCCUGUGAUCACUGUUUCUAGGGGCUUAUUAGGAUGACCAAGAUAAAAGGAAUGUCACACAGGCUGAGUUUACCUUGAGUUUUGUAUUAGCCCCAAUGUAAAUAUUCCCACCUGAGCCUACUUCCUUGUCCUAGUCCAAAGUCAAAUUCCUGCCUGAGCUUACUUCAGUGUCCUGACCCAAUGUCAAAUUCUUGCCAAGUUUCUAGAGGCAGUCCCAAAAGCUCUUCAGAGCCUAGACGUGUGUCUCUGUACCACACACAUACCUAGUGCCCACGGAGGACAGAAGAAAGUUACCUCCCCUUGGAAAUGGAGCUGCAACUGAUUGUGAACUUCAUUGAUUGAUUGAUUGAUGAGGUGCUGGGAAUCCGGCCCAAGUCCUCGGGAGGAGCAGCCAGCGUUCUUAGCUUCUGAGCUACCUCUCUAUCCCAAGCCCACAGUUUAAACCCAGUUCAGGCUAGGACUUGUUCAUGGUACUUCCCAUGUUCUGCAUUUAGUUUAUUAAGCAUUUUCAUUAAGCCUAAUUAUCCAAACAACGAAUGGCAAGUACAGCCUCGCACACUCGAGUAGCAGAAUUAUCAUGCAAACAGUGGGAGGAAUUCUGUAAGUCCAUGGCUACAAAUGGAAAGGUUAGUUCUCGGACAGUACCGGUAUCAGCAUGCAAAGCGUGUUCGCCGAUUGCAGCUAUGGUAAAUAUAUAGGGUGUGUGUGCAGCAACUAGAAAAAAAUAAAAGCUGAAAUGCCCACCUUGAGGAGCUGCAAUUAGAAGCAGCCUUCUCUGCCUUCAGAUUCUCCUGCUGUUGUCUUUAAAGGAGAAAGAAGAAAAAAGAGAUUGCAUGCUGUUAUAACAUUGUAUUUAAUUUCUUACUGCUGUUAUUCUUGGUUUGCUUUCAUGAGACAAGGUCCUCUGUAGCCAAGGCUGACCUUGACGUUGCUGUGUGGCUGAGGAUGGUCUUGAACUCCUGAUCUUCUUGCCUCUCUUUCCCUGUUACAGCACAAUGCUGUAUUUGAAAUAGCUAUCCCCUCACCUCUGGCCCAUAUGCCACCUACCAUGCAUGUAUCAAAUGUUCCACGAGGCACUGCAUAAGCUAGAAUUGGAAUCAGACACCCAAGCCCUCCCACGAAGAACUAAGCUCUUCUCACAGGGCUGGGCUGACCCACUGUUUCCCAUAUGCAGAAGCAUCAUGGAGUUACCUGGGUCGUGGGGAGACGCCACAAUGUGCAUUGCUUUGGGCUCAACUUAGCAUGUGGUCCCGAGGUAUCCCUAUACAACAAAAGCAGGCAAGAGUGUGCAAAAGCCUUUUCGGCAGCCUCAGCUUCACUUUGAACUAUGGAUAAUCCAGACUAACUGGUCCUCCCCAGCCAGACUUGAGUUCUCCAUUUUGUAUAAAGAAUCCACUCAUCUGUCUUAUUCCAGGGGUUCCGGGGAGACCUGGUAUGCUACGGAGACACUGGGGGUGGGAAAACCUGUCUUCCUCCUUUUGACAUCUACAGAAGACAGACACUGAAGCUUCCUAGCUCCAGGGGGGAGGCAAGCUUUGGGAGUCAGUUCAGGGGUGCAGCUCUAUUCUGCAUACCAGCCCCCCUUUCCUCCAGCCUCCCUACAGACCAUGAAUGCUCUGCUCAGGAUCCCAGGCUGCUGCCAAUUACAAAAGGACUCUUAACUCCGUUUUCACAGACCCUUGAUUGAUAGCACUGGUGAGUGAAAUUAUAAGCCUUAAUGAUCACGUUAAUUUUGGGGGAAAGGGAAUCGGUCAGAAGAGGCCCUCAAUCACAGGCUCUGCAAUCAGCGGGGUGAGCUCAAUGACAGGCCAGAGCAGGAGAAGAGGGGGAAGAAUUAACUUCUUAAAAGGUCACCAGGGAGCAGAGGGAGAGCAACCAGACACAAGGGACGAGGCUCACCAACAGUUCCGGAGCCUGAAGAUGCACCUUCCUGAGCUGGGGCAUCCAGCCUUAGCUACAGCAGAAGUCACUUGGUAGUUUGUAUCAGACUGGCGUCUCGCUCAGUGAUUUGGCACCUGACACAAAGCCCUGGGUUCAACCCACAUCACACAUACACACACAAACAAAACAUUCAUGCACACACACACACACACAUCACAUAUAACACAUAACACACAUAGCACAUAAACACACAACACAUAAUAAUAUACAACACACACAACAUAUACACACAACCCCCACCACACACACACAUAUCUGAUGCCUGGGCCCUACCUCCAGAGGGGCUGAUAUGAUUGGCCUGGACUACAGCCUGGGUAUUAAGCUUUUCAAAGCUCCCCAAGUGGUGAUGGUGAUGAUGAUGAUGAUGAUGAUGAUAUCUAAGUACACUGUAGCUGUCUUCAGACACAACCAGAAGAGGGCAUUGGAUCCCAUUACAGAUGGUUGUGACUCACCGUGUGGUUUCUGGGAUUUGAACUCAGGACCUUUGGAAGAUCAGUCAGUGCUCUUAACCGCUGAGCCAUCUCUCCAUCCCCCCACCUCCCACCCCCAGGUGAUCUUAUGAGCAGCCAAGAUGGAGAUGGACUUAUCUAAGUGGAAGGAUUUGGGGAGCUAGUAGCCAAGGCAGAGCACAUUUGGAAACGGACUUAAUCUGAUUAUUCUUACCACCGAGGAGAACUUCUCCGGUGGCCUCCGAGGCCCUCUUGAAGAUAAUGAUGAUGGGAUAUUACACUGGAAGGAGGCCAGUUAGGCCUUGCUGAGCUGAAUACUCCAUUUCACAGAUGAAAUUUAGAAGAGCAGAGAGGCCUCGAAGCUGAUGAGCGAGGGUCUCAUGGCCGGAACUCCAAGCUCAGAGCUUGCUCGACCUUGGUCUGUGCUCCUUCCCUCAGGAUCAUGGCUGAUGAAACAUCCAGGCUGACCAGGAUGGACAGGAAUUGUGUCUGUCUUCCAGCCUCCAUGCAGAAUCUCUCCUGACCCUGGCUCAGUGUCCUGGGACACAGAAACCAGAUGAUGUUUGUGGCACUGGUACCAUGGACAGAAUAAGGCCACCCUGCUGGUCUAAAGAGCAAAGCUUGGUGUCCUCAUGACACUGACUCUGCAGGCAGUUUCCAAUUAGAACAUUGUAUCACUUCGUCGAGACACAAAGAUGCCAGGACACGUGGCGGCACUCUGGUUCCUUCUCUGAGUCUGUCUGGUGCCCCACUGCUGAUGGGCCAGCUGGCUGUGUGCAGCUGAGCUAGAGGCCUUCUCCACACACGCCCUGUGGAGGUUAGCAGCAAUUGGAGAAAAAGAGCUAGCACACGUUCCAAAACCCUUCAAGCACUACUCAAAAUGCAAACCACAUGGGAAAGAAGCCAUUUGUCAUUCGUGGUAAGGGUACUGGAGUUAACUCAGUUUAAAGAGAGUUACUGCCCAGCCUGCUGUCCUGCAGUCUACCCAGUAAUUCUGUUCUCUCUCCCUCUCCCUCCCCAACCCUGGGUAGAGAGAGGGAGGAGGUAAGGGGAAGGGAGAGGAGGGGGAGGGGGAGGGAGAUUGUUACUUCUGAAGUGAUUAUUUUUGUUAAUGUUCUUUUUAAAGGAGAGUCUGUUCUUUGGGGGCUGGUUGUUUCUGUUGCAGUGCUGAGGGCCAGAGCCCAGGGCCUUGCACACAGCAAGCACUUAUUUUACCUUCAAGUGACACUCCAGCUUAUGUAGCAAGAUCUUUCUCAGUAGAGGAGAUCAGCCUCAGUGCUUCCUCAUCUGCACGCACCCACUUUCUCCUGACCUUCCUUGUGACAUGGAAAGCUGUCAGGUUCGCAGAAGUGGCCUAGCAAUGCAGCUCUGACCAUGGGGGCCGGGCAAGACCUACUUACCCGGAGCCAGCGCAUCGUAUGGGAGGCAUAUUAAUGAUGGGAACAUAUGCAUUCUCUGUAUUUUUC